rnacentral:rRNA from 1 species
ACGGGAGGCAGCAGUGGGGGAUAUUGCACAAUGGAGGAAACUCUGAUGCAGCAACGCCGCGUGAAGGAAGAAGGCCUUCGGGUUGUAAACUUCUGUCCUUGGUGACGAUAAUGACGGUAGCCAAGGAGGAAGCCACGGCUAACUACGUGCCAGCAGCCGCGGUAAUACGUAGGUGGCAAGCGUUGUCCGGAAUUACUGGGUGUAAAGGGUGCGUAGGCGGCUCAUAAAGUCAGAUGUGAAAUACCGGGGCUUAACUCCGGAGCUGCAUUUGAAACUUAUGGGCUUGAGUGAAGUAGAGGUAAGCGGAAUUCCUAGUGUAGCGGUGAAAUGCGUAGAUAUUAGGAGGAACACCAGUGGCGAAGGCGGCUUACUGGACGAUAACUGACGUUGAGGCUCGAAAGCGUGGGGAGCAAACAGGAUUAGAUACCCUGGUA